GAAUUGUAGUUUAUAGAAGCGUUUUCGGUGGCAGCCUGGGUAUAAAUCCUUUGAAAUAGGGUAUCAUAGAGGGUGAGAAUCCCGUCUUUGACUCAGUGCAUGCUACUAUGUGAUACGUUUUCAAAGAGUCGAGUUGUUUGGGAAUGCAGCUCAAAAUGGGUGGUAAAUUUCAUCUAAAGCUAAAUAUUGGCGAGAGACCGAUAGCGAACAAGUACCGUGAGGGAAAGAUGAAAAGAACUUUGAAAAGAGAGUUAAACAGUGCGUGAAAUUGUUGAAAGGGAAACGCUUGACACCAGUCAUGCGAGUGGAAAAUCAGUCUUUUGCAGUGGGGAGUUGUGGGCGUUCAGACCGCAAGGCUGGCGUUUGCUUCAUCUUUGUUGUAAGUGAUGCACUUUUUCAUUUGCAGGUCAACAUCAGUUUGCUUUGCUGGACAAAACCCCAAGGGAAGGUGGCAGCUUAGGCUGUGUUAUAGCCCUGGGGCGAUACAGUGGAGUGGACUGAGGUUUUCGCAGUGUGUGCUCUCUGGGCAAGGCUGACUGGGUGCUAUGGGAUCGUUCGGCGUACAAUGCAUGCAUUUUGCGCCGUGUCUUUUUCAUACUCGCUCAACUCGGCUCUUCCACACUUAGGAUGUUGACUUAAUGGUUUUAAUCGACCCGUCUUGAAACACGGGCCAAGGAGUCUAACAUAUAUGCAAGUGUUUGGGUGGCAAACCCAUGCGCGUAAUGAAGGUGAACGUAGGUGCCAUCCGCAAGGUGCAGCAUCGACCGAUCUUGAUAUUUUUGGAUAGAUUUGAGUAAGAGCAUAUAUGCUGGGACCCGAAA
rnacentral:rRNA from 1 species